UCAACCCUCAAGCCCCGGCUUGGUGUUGGAUCGCGGUCGGUGACACGACCGGUUCCCAAAGACAAUGACGGCGUCUGUGAGGACCCUCGGUACAAUGAGCUUUAACCAGCACGUACCGUCUAGGGGCUUCCAGACCCGGUCUCCCUUUUUAAAUUUCUCAA
rnacentral:misc_RNA from 1 species